UACGAAGGGGGCUAGCGUUGCUCGGAAUCACUGGGCGUAAAGGGUGCGUAGGCGGCUCUUUAAGUCAGGGGUGAAAUCCUGGAGCUCAACUCCAGAACUGCCUUUGAUACUGAGGAUCUUGAGUUCGGGAGAGGUGAGUGGAACUGCGAGUGUAGAGGUGAAAUUCGUAGAUAUUCGCAAGAACACCAGUGGCGAAGGCGGCUCACUGGCCCGAUACUGACGCUGAGGCACGAAAGCGUGGGGAGCAAACAGG
rnacentral:rRNA from 1 species